AGGUAAGCUACUAAGAGCGAAUGGUGGAUGCCUUGACUGGUAAAGGCGAUGAAGGACGUACUAGACUGCGAUAAGCUACGGGGAGCUGUCAAGAAGCUUUGAUCCGUAGAUUUCCGAAUGGGGCAACCCAAUGUAUAGAGAUAUACAUUACCUAUAUAGGAGCGAACGAGGGGAAUUGAAACAUCUUAGUACCCUCAGGAAAAGAAAUCAAUAGAGAUUGCGUCAGUAGCGGCGAGCGAAAGCGCAAGAGGGCAAACCCAGUGCUUGCACUGGGGGUUGUAGGACUGCAAUGUGCAAGAGGUAAGUUUAGCAGAACAUUCUGGAAAGUAUAACCAUAGAGGGUGAUAGUCCCGUAUGCGAAAAACAAACCUUAGCUAGCAGUAUCCUGAGUAGGGCGGGACACGAGGAAUCCUGUCUGAAUCCGGGUCGACCACGAUCCAACCCUAAAUACUAAUACCAGAUCGAUAGUGCACAAGUACCGUGAGGGAAAGGUGAAAAGAACUGAGGUGAUCAGAGUGAAAUAGAACCUGAAACCAUUUGCUUACAAUCAUUCAGAGCCCUAUGUAGCAAUACAGGGUGAUGGACUGCCUUUUGCAUAAUGAGCCUGCGAGUUGUGGUGUCUGGCGAGGUUAAGCAAACGCGAAGCCGUAGCGAAAGCGAGUCUGAAUAGGGCGCUUAGUCAGAUGCUGCAGACCCGAAACGAAGUGAUCUAUCCAUGAGCAAGUUGAAGCUAGUGUAAGAACUAGUGGAGGACUGAACCCAUAGGCGUUGAAAAGCCCCGGGAUGACUUGUGGAUAGGGGUGAAAGGCCAAUCAAACUUCGUGAUAGCUGGUUCUCUCCGAAAUAUAUUUAGGUAUAGCGUUGUGUCGUAAUAUAAGGGGGUAGAGCACUGAAUGGGCUAGGGCAUACACCAAUGUACCAAACCCUAUCAAACUCCGAAUACCUUAUAUGUAAUCACAGCAGUCAGGCGGCGAGUGAUAAAAUCCGUCGUCAAGAGGGAAACAACCCAGACUACCAGCUAAGGUCCCUAAAUCUUACUUAAGUGGAAAACGAUGUGAAGUUACUUAAACAACCAGGAGGUUGGCUUAGAAGCAGCCAUCCUUUAAAGAAAGCGUAAUAGCUCACUGGUCUAGUGAUUUUGCGCGGAAAAUAUAACGGGGCUAAAGUAAGUACCGAAGCUGUAGACUUAGUUUACUAAGUGGUAGGAGAGCGUUCUAUUUGCGUCGAAGGUAUACCGGUAAGGAGUGCUGGAGCGAAUAGAAGUGAGCAUGCAGGCAUGAGUAGCGAUAAUUAAUGUGAGAAUCAUUAACGCCGUAAACCCAAGGUUUCCUACGCAAUGCUCGUCAUCGUAGGGUUAGUCGGGUCCUAAGUCGAGUCCGAAAGGGGUAGACGAUGGCAAAUUGGUUAAUAUUCCAAUACCAACAUUAGUGUGCGAUGGAA
rnacentral:rRNA from 1 species